rnacentral:RNase_P_RNA from 1 species
AGCAGGCCGAACGACCGCGGGCAUAAGGCGAAAGCCUGUGCGUGAGGAAAGUCCGGGCUCCGCAGGGCAAGAAUAACGGGUAACGCCCGCCAGGGGUGACCCUCGGACAAGUGCAACAGAAAUAUACCGCCCCCGGCCCCGUCGUUUGUUGGCGGGGCCGGGGGUAAGGGUGGAAAAGUGAGGUAAGAGCUCACUCAUCGCAUGGAGACAUGUGGGUGCUGUAAACUCUAUUCGGAGCAACACCGUGGGAGGACGCAUGGCCGGCCCGGCCGUCCUCGGGAGGUGGCUUGAAUCUUUCGGCAACGGAAGAUCUAGAUAGAUGGUCGUUUAAGACAGAACCCGGCUUACAGACCAGCUCAU